rnacentral:rRNA from 1 species
UACGUAGGUGGCAAGCGUUGUCCGGAAUUAUUGGGCGUAAAGCGCGCGCAGGCGGUCCUUUAAGUCUGAUGUGAAAGCCCACGGCUCAACCGUGGAGGGUCAUUGGAAACUGGGGGACUUGAGUGCAGAAGAGGAAAGCGGAAUUCCACGUGGUAGCGGUGAAAUGCGUAGAGAUGUGGAGGAACACCAGUGGCGAAGGCGGCUUUCUGGUCUGUAACUGACGCUGAGGCGCGAAAGCGUUGGGGAGCAAACAGG